AAGUUUGAAAAAAAUGUAAAUGAGUUUGACCUGAGCGAGACUGGAUCUUAGAUGAUUCAAAAAUUGCAAGUGAUUAGAGCCUAAUCGAACGGUCAAAAAAUAGGAAAAGAAGUUUGACGAGUUUCAAGCUACAUCAAAAGUGAUCGAUAGCGGAAUGGUCAUUAGAGAUUAAAAAGGAAAUACCACAAUACUCUGGAGACCAUUGAUCCCCGUUUUUUUCGUGAUUAACAGAAAUAAGGGGUCGCUAUAUCUAUUGACCUUGAAGAAUACUACAAAUUAUUCCUCUGUAUGAUGGUAAUUGGUAAUUAGGAGAUGCCACCUGUUCUCAUGCUUUAAUUCCGAUUUCAAGGUUGAGUGGAUUGACGAAGUGGGUGCACUAAUUACGGAACUACGAAAGGACUUCUUGUUAUUCAAAAAUUCUUUGAGAAUUAACGUACAAAUUUAAUUUUCAAUUGCAUAAUUAAAUGGAUUUAUGAUUUUUUUUACGAAUUCCAGUACCCCUUCAGCAUGAAUGUCAUAUCAUAGCAAAUACGUUAAGUGAAUAGGAGUGGAUGAAGACUGUUUACCGUUUAGUACUAAUUUUGUAAACGUGUAUAUAACAUCCAUUGAUGAUCUCAUUAAAUGUACUUAGGAAGUUAUGUAAAUAUUGAUGUAAAUAGUAAAGAAUUAAUAAAUGUUACACUAAAUACGCA